UACGUAGGGAGCAAGCGUUGUCCGGAAUCAUUGGGCGUAAAGCGCGCGUAGGCGGCCCGGUAAGUCCGUUGUGAAAGUCAAAGGCUCAACCUUUGAAUGCCGAUGGAUACUGCCGGGCUCGAGUCCGGAAGAGGCGAGUGGAAUUCCUGGUGUAGCGGUGGAAUGCGCAGAUAUCAGGAGGAACACCGAUAGCGAAGGCAGCUCGCUGGGACGGUACUGACGCUAAGGCGCGAAAGCGUGGGGAGCGAACAGG
rnacentral:rRNA from 1 species